GCUAGUCGAGCGCUCUUUGGCCAUGAAGAGAGCGCGGCGCACAGCUCAGUAGCACGUGGCUAACCUGCCCUUGGGACGGGAACACCCCCGGGAAACUGGGGCUAAUUCCCGAUAGGUGAAGAACUCUGGAAUGAGUCUUCGCCCAAAAGACGCUUACGUCAUGCUCGUAGGCGCCGCCCAAGGAUGGGGCCGCGGCCGAUCAGGUUGUUGGUGAGGUAACGGCUCACCAAGCCUAUAACCGGUGCGGGCCGUGGGAGCGGGAGCCCGGAGAUGGGCACUGAGACAAGGGCCCAGGCCCUACGGGGCGCAGCAGUCGCGAAAACUUUGCAAUAAGCGAAAGCUUGACAGGGCUAUCCCGAGUGCCGUCCGCUGAGGAUGGCUUUUACCCAGUCUAGAAAGCUGGGGGAAUAAGGAGAGGGCAAGUCUGGUGUCAGCCGCCGCGGUAAUACCAGCUCUCCGAGUGGUGUGGACGUUUAUUGGGCCUAAAGCAUCUGUAGCUGGCUGUUCAAGUCCCCUGUUAAACCCAACGAUUUAAUCGUUGGUCUGCGGGGGAUACUGUUCGGCUAGGGGGCGGGAGAGGCAGACGGUAUUUCCGGGGUAGGGGUGAAAUCCUAUAAUCCCGGGAAGACCACCAGUGGCG
rnacentral:rRNA from 1 species